rnacentral:rRNA from 1 species
AACCCCUAUCAUUAGUUGCCAUCAGGUCAAGCUGGGGACUCUAAUGAAACUGCCUACGCAAGUAGUGAGGAAGUGGGGAUGACGUCAAAUCAGCACGGCCCUUACGUCCAGGGCUACACACGUGCUACAAUGGCCGGUACAAAGGGCAGCUACCUGGUGACAGGAUGCUAAUCUCAAAAGCCGGUCUCAGUUCGGAUCGGAGUCUGCAACCCGACUCCGUGAAGUCGGAAUCGCUAGUAAUCGCGGAUCAGAACGCCGCGGUGAAUACGUUCUCGGGUUU